AUUGAACGCUGGCGUCAGGCCUAACACAUGCAAGUCGCACGCUUGGCGGACUGGUUAGUAUUUUCUGGGAAACUGCCUGAUUGAGGUGUCUAACUUCUGGAAACGGUAGCUAACACCUCAUACCAUCAUAUGUGCCCAGAUUGGUUUAGCUUGUUGGUGGUGUAACGUCGCACCAAGGCGACGAUCCCUCGCUGGUCUGAUAGGAUGACCAGACACAAUGGAACUGAGACACGGUCCAGACGCCUACGGGAGGAAGAAGUGGGGAAUAUUGAACAAUGGGCGCAAGCCUGAUGCAGCCAGGCCGCGUGGAUGAAGAAGGACUUCGGGUUGUAAAGUACUUUCAGCGGGGAGGCGUUACCCGCAGAAGAAGCACCGGCUAACUCCGUGCCAGCAGCCGCGGUAAUAC
rnacentral:rRNA from 1 species